rnacentral:piRNA from 1 species
UUGCAGGGUUUGAGAUCUACGUUUGA